rnacentral:lncRNA from 1 species
GCGGGCCGGGGGCGGGGAGAGCUGCCUCGGGGCCCCACGCCCCCGCUGCAAGGCACGGCCGGGCGGGGGGCAGCGAGCGCGCUCAGGGUGGCCCGAGCAAACCAAAAUUAACUGGCUGCUUUCUGAGCUGGCUUUGAAAAUGCAAACAGCUGCCCGUACCCGGAGUUAUUUCAUAAAUAAUAAAAAAAGCUCCGCCCGGGUACAUUUGCAGAAUGAGCUGAUGGCGUUGUGGGAUGUCCGUGUCUGCACGCCGUCGCCUCCCCCAGCGGGGGCCCUGACUUGUUAUCGCAGCGUGGCAUCGUUUUGCUGGCAGAAUGAGCGCUUUAUUCACGCGGAUGUAAGCUUUCGGCAGGGAAGGCAGCUUGUUUUGAAAUGUCCACUGCUACCAGUGCUGAGAGGAAAAACGUUAAAUCGCCGUGUGCGCGGCUGCAACCCCUUAAAGAGGCCCAAACGGUGUGUAACAAAGCGGCAGCUCCUCCGUGGAAGCGCCCGGCCCGUCUGCGAGAGACAAAACGCCGUAGGUCAGAGGAGGGACGGACGGUGCUGGCCGGCGGGUGAUGCAGGGCGGACCCAGAGCCAGGCCGGCGUCCGUUCGCCGAGGACAGAAGCGCGGCUUUGCUGCACAGCUGCGUUCCAGGGCGCGCGGACGCACCGCGGGCUGCUGGAACCUUCGUGCUUCUGGGGCCAGGGGCACAGAGGGCUUGCGCUCGACAAAAGCCCUACGGCACCGACCGCAUUUCCCUUCACGCUCUGGCCUAGGGGCCAAGUACUCUCCAACCCACCCAUCCCUCCCUUUGAGGAGAGGAACUAUACUAUUCAAAUUGCUGCUUCUGCUCUUGUACUCUCGGUUGUGCUCAUAUUGUGCCUAAGCAAAUACACCAAUCUGUGCAGCCUCCGGGGCAGUUCAAGAGAUCAGAGUGUGGCUCAGGGAGCUCAAACAGCAAUUGUUGGACAAAUGUUUCCCAUAUCCUCUCCUGCUCGUGAACAAUGUGUCCUCAUACCAACAAGACCAUGGAGCUUCAGCUUUUGUUAUAUUUGUUAAGAGAAAUUGACAGUUACAAAUGGGCUUACUAAAAUAAAUGUACUCUUCUAAAAGUGGACAUGUUUUUAAAACUACUCUUCUGCUCCCUGAGCUGUGUGCAAGGCAGGCUGAGCUACUUGCGCUCACAGCAGUUACUUCUAGACAAGAAGCCUUUUCUUCAUUCUCAGAGCUGCUGGAGGGCCCUAAGAGGAACUUCAGCGUGUCAGUGUGGUGAGGCGAGUUGUCUGAAGGACAUACUUCUGUGUACCUAGUCACCUUCAAUGGAAAAGCCCUCCAUUAACUUACUUAUUUUAGUGGGUUUUUUUGUGUGUGUUUCUGUAGUUGUUUUGUGUGUGUGUGUGUCCUUCCCCACUCCGCUCCCCCCCAUCCCGUGGCUGUUGGUAAUCUUCAGAAAGAUUUUUUUUCAUUUUUUUUUCCCCAUCCCAACAUUUUGUGACACUCCAUGAGCUGUGGAGCCAUCUAUCUUUACUAAUCACCUUAGGUUUCACUCUGGCUUGUAUGUCUGACUUCAUCUAUGAGGCAUUUUGUGACAUUCACUAUGAAAAAUGUCAGAGGAAAGGAGGUGUUUCAGUGCAGGCAACGACAAUGCAGAGAGAGGAAAGGAGCUGCAAACUUUGCCCCAUGCUUUGACCGAUCUGAUUUUUGUAUGUAAGGAGACAUUUGGAGCUAGUAAAAUGAUAUUGCAAGAAACUCUUUCAGCCGUGUGGAGAGAGUGACAGAAACUAUUCAGAGUAAGGAAUGUCAAAUCACGUGGCACGACCUGAACUGGGUAUUUAUUUACAAGACAGGGCAGAUGGCAUCAGUGCUUCCCCCUGUUUUUUGCUGGUCCCAUUCAUUAGAGUCAUUCUUGUGAGCCGUGGUCUGAAAGAAAGGACAGCCAGGAACUAUAAAAGCUCCAUUACGUUUGUGUUGAACGUUAACAUAGAAUCAGUGAAGCAAAAGGUAAAAAAAGAAGUAGGCAGAAGGGAAGAAGGAAGGAAAACUGUGUUCCCUGUUACUUCAUAGUGAAAUAAGAAAAGAGUAAACUUAUCAUGUGGAAUGACACUGCUAGGACAUUUCAGAUGGCAGUAACGAGCAACAGCAUUUACUAAGAUGGAAGAAGAAAGUUUCUCGGACACAUUAUCAAAUUCCAGUGUUGUUUUUUUUUUUCUUAUUUAAACCACCGGGAGGUGGGAGCAGGCACUGACACAGGGAGUGGCAGUCUCAGAAUGGCGGACCAUGGCUUAGGAAAAUCCCAGGCUGCUACAUUACUUGAGAUAUCCUCACGUGUUCAGGGAACAAGAAAAAAAGAUAACAGAAAAGCAGCAGCAAAAGGCAGGGUUCUGUAAGUUGCUCCAAAACAUCGGAGCCUCUCUAAGUAGCAUCAGCCAUGUUUCAAGUGGCAGCAAACUUGUGCUCAUCUCCUGCUUUUAACGCAAUCCAAAUUCACAAGUUUUAGCCUGCAAAGUCACUUAAACUUCCUCAGACAGCAGGGAUUCUCAUCAGCACUAAGCGCCAGCAGUUGCUGUUGCUCAGGUCCUCAGCCCCUCAGAGCAACUGUGCUGCUCAGGGCUUCGCUGCUCCUGGGAAACUAUUGCAACUGUAUAGGAGUUUAAACGGUGUCCUCUGAAAAUCUCCCAGCCACUGCUCUUCUGAAUAUCUGACAUUGUCUUGUGGCGGUAAAGGAGGAGCAGAGUCCUGGUAAAUCUAUGAGGCCAGGGUUUGGGACCAGCUCUGGAGCACCGGACUUCGCACGUAGCGAGGAACUCUUGGGAACAGAGAAUUCUCUGCCUUCUUACACGUUUAAAAAUAGAUCCAAUUCAACUCCCAAGCUAAGUCUGAGUGAGGCACAGCAACCCCUGCAUGAUGUCUUUUCCUGCUGUUUUAAAGCCUCCUUAAACGUUGCCAGUAUCAUUUUCC